AAUGAACGCUGGCGGCAGGCCUAAAACAUGCAAGUCGAACGCCCUAGCAAUAGGGAGUGGCGCACGGGUGAGUAACAUGUGGGAAUAUGCCUUUUGGUACGGAACAACGUUUGGAAACGAACGCUAAUACCGUAUGGUCCCUCCGGGGUAAAGAGUUAUCGCCAAAAGAUUAGCCCGCACUAGAUUAGCUAGUUGGUAAGGUAAUGGCUUACCAAGGCGACGAUCUAUAGCUGUUCUGAGAGGAAGAUCAGCCACACUGGGACUGAGACACGGCCCAGACUCCUACGGGAGGCAGCAGUUAGGAAUAUUGGACAAUGGGCGCAAGUCUGAUCCAGCCAUGCCGCGUGAGUGAUGAAGGCCUUCGGGUUGUAAAGCUCUUUAGCCGACGAAUAUAAUGACUGUAGUCGGAGAAUAAGCCCCGGCUAACUUCGUGCCAGCCGCCGCCGUAACAC
rnacentral:rRNA from 1 species